rnacentral:lncRNA from 1 species
GACGGACCAUGCCCUCGGGCACAGACUCAUCACUGACACCAGGGGAAUGCCAGGUGCUGCUUGACUGAGGCCUGGGUCCUUAAAGCGGUUACUAGCAAGGACACAUUUUCUAUAUUUGAGGAUAUUUACAUACGGAGGCCAUGAUGACGAUGAAACCACAUUUCACAUCAUGAGGACACAACCACGGUCACUUUGUUAUUCCUAAGGGAUAGGAGCAGAGGCGAACUGU